rnacentral:rRNA from 1 species
AUUGAACGCUGGCGGCAUGCCUUACACAUGCAAGUCGAACGGCAGCACGGGAGCAAUCCUGGUGGCGAGUGGCGAACGGGUGAGUAAUAUAUCGGAACGUGCCCAGUCGUGGGGGAUAACGUAGCGAAAGCUACGCUAAUACCGCAUACUAUCUAUGGAUGAAAGCGGGGGAUCGCAAGACCUCGCGCGAUUGGAGCGGCCGAUAUCAGAUUAGGUAGUUGGUGAGGUAAAGGCUCACCAAGCCGACGAUCUGUAGCUGGUCUGAGAGGACGACCAGCCACACUGGGACUGAGACACGGCCCAGACUCCUACGGGAGGCAGCAGUGGGGAAUAUUGGACAAAUGGGCGAAAGGACCCUGAUCCAGCAAUGCCGCGUGAGUGAUGAAGGCUC